rnacentral:lncRNA from 1 species
GCUGUGUCAUUUACUUGGAGCAGAGUCCUGCACUUACUAUGUGUAUGGUUAAUGCUUGUUGAGUGACUGCUACAGGAAACCUACACACUUGUCCAGAAAUUUCAUUUAAGCUUUUCGUCCUAAUUGUCACAUUGUUCUCUCCCUUUUCUGAAAUGCUGUGAUGUUCCUAGUUCCCAAAACAGUACUUGUAUAGCAAUUACUGUUAAUUAUUUCAUUGAGUUAAUCUCAUUCCCAUAACGGAUUAAGUUUUAGACUAAGAAAUAAUUUUUUUUGUUUGAGACAUGAACUCACUACCUUCACCCAGGCUGGAGUGCAGUGGCAUGAUCAUGGCUCGAUGCAGCCCUGACAUCCUGGGCUCAAGUGAUCCUCCCACCUCAGUCUCCCAAAUAGCUGGGACUACAGGCAUGCGCCACCACGCCCAGCUAAUUUUUUGUAUUUUUAAUAGAGAUGAGGUCUUGCCAUGUUGCUCAGGCUGGUCUUGAACUCUUGAGCUCAAGUGAUCUGACCUCUCAGCCUCCCAAAGUGGUGGCAUUACAGGUGUGAGCCACCGCGACUGGCUAAAAAUUCUUAAUUGUAUACUCUUUUGUAGUAUUCUCUUGGGACCACCUAAGUCAAGCCUCAUUCCCACCAGAUGGUGCCCCUGUUGGGGGCAGUGAAGAAGCCUUCUAUGUCUGUUUCAUGACUCCUUCUUGGCUGGCACACUGUUGUGGGCGCUCUGUAGGUAGUCAAUGGGAAACGGGAAAGCUACUUGCGGUUAGAAUAAUACGAGAACUAGAUAUUGGUAAUCUCAGCUGAGCGAAUGGCAAAGGAACUGAUGAAGCAGGUGGAUUCCAAGGCUAGUUAGGAGAAGGAAUUGACUACAAGUGGUGUUGGUGGGAUGGGAGGGGUGAGGGAGGGGGGAUGGGAGGGGUAAGGGACGGGGGUGCAUCAGAGGUUACUCCCAGGGCUCUGCCAGACCCUGGGUAGAUGGAGCCGCCGUUUUACAGAGGUAAGGACAAGAGUUUAGUUUUGAACAUUCCAAGUGGAGAUGUCCAGGACACAAUUAUAUACCUAGGCUGCCAUUCUGGGAGGAGAUCUGAGUGGGAGACCAUGAUUUGGGAAUUAUCACCACAGAUGGUAAUUUAAGCCUUGGGAGAGGAUGAGUUUGCCCCCAAAGAGAGCAUAAAGUAAGAAAAUUGGGCUCUCCGUGUUUCAAGGUUGACUAAAGAUCCUGUCAUUUGACUAGGCUCUGCUAUAGUCUGCAAAAUCUGCCCAGGGACAGAAUAUUGAAGUAAAUAAAGUGUAUUCCAGUGAAACCUCAAAUAGAUUGAUUCAAAACUGGAGUUAGAAAAACUUGUGGUUUUUCUUGGUAAAGCUUCAUUUUCUAUUUGUCUUCAUAACUAUAAAUGGAUGUAUUUGUGUGGAAGAUGUAGAUUUUUUUUAAAAAAAAUCUAUUUUUGGCUCUAUUAAGAGACAAAAUGAAUCCAAAUGUAUUCCAUACUUCUCUCACAUUGCACCAUUUUGUUAUGUAACAGAGAACGUUUGAGUACAUACUGUCCACACCAGCAACUAUAAAUCUGUCCUGGCAAGUGACUGUAAGAUACCCAGGAACAAGAGAUAAGGAGCUCGCCUCUCCAGGGAGAAGCUUUUAUUUGCAAGAGAGAGAGUGAUAUACAAGAACUUGCAAAUGUCUUUGAAGGGCAGAAAAAAUCAGCUAGGGCUAAUAAGGCAGCUGUCCAAGUUCAUGAUUCCUUGGCCCUUCUUUAUACACAACCACCAAGAGUUGUCAGUUUGCAAACCUAGAAAAGUAUACCAUUGUAAUAUCAGUUCAUCUCCCGCUUUUCCAGAGCUACUCAGAAGCGUGGUGGAUGCUUAGUGAAACGACCAGAGGUGUGAAGCUGCCAGACCUUUACCCAGAUCAACUUCUUUGACUCAGGGUACAAAUGAACAACGUAGUCUGACAGCUCACCUAAAAGUUAUUUGGAAUGAUUUUAUAUUGAGAGAUUUUUUUAAAGCCUAAAUUUAGAUUCAUCAGAGCAUAUCAAGGUUGAGAUAUGUGAAAGGCAGUGCUAUAUGGGAGGGUCAAGUUCCAUUCGUUUAAAAAUACCAGGACAUUUGCUGCUGUUUAGUAGGGGAGUUGGGUAGGGUAGAUAUCCUCACCUCCACUAUACAGAUUUAUUUAUUUAUUUAUUUUUUGAGACCAAGUUUCGCUCUGUUGCCCAGGCUGGAGUGCAUUGGUGUAAUCUCGGCUCACUGCAACCUCUGCCUCCCAGGGUCAAGCAAUUCUUCUGCCUCAGCCUCCUGAGUAGCUGGGAUUACAGGUUUGGUUUCAGAUACAGCAUCCCUUCUGCUACAUUCUUUAAAGUUAAAAAAAGAAAAACAAUUUCACUUUUAUUGGUGAUGGGCAUUCAACUGAAAUUACAAAUCGGGAAAACAUGACAUUCCAGCUCACAGCAGUCUGAUUAAAGGUGGAACUCUUAUGAAACCACAGGAUCUGACUGAACAUAUGGAUCAUCUUCUGGCAAGCUUAACAGACACCUGAUGUUUUCCUUGGCCAUCCAGAAAUCUGCAUCCUGGUGUAGAUAUCAUGAGUUAAUGAUGGAGUCAAGUGUAGAAAUGUGUCUGGGACUUGCAGACCUCUUGCUUUGUGAUACUUUCUUUUAUUUUCUUAACUGGCUGAGAAAAUGGCUGUCACUCCAAGUCUAUCUUCUGAUGGGCUGGUAGCUCUCAUUCAGGCCAUCCACAGCCAGCUGCCUUUCCCCAGACAACCUACAUUGCCUUGAGUCUUCUCUUAAAGCAAAAAGACUAGAGGAGAGGAGUGCUACUUUCUUCUCAGCCUUGCUGUCCCUGUCAUGUAAGGAGGUACUUAAAAAGCAUUCCUAUCCAGUUCUCUCUAUCUGCUCCGUCUUCUCUCCAUGCCCUCAUGGAGUACUUGGUAAAAACAUUUAAGUAGAUGACUUUAUGGAAUAUGAUUCCCCGGUUUUGGAGAAAUAAAAAGAUGAAUCUCAGACAUCAGUAAGGGCCACAUUCUAGUUCAAAUUAUAAGCCUGUACAUAAUCAGUAAAACUAUAUUAGAAAUAAAAGCUUCUCAAAAAUCCCAAGUGCUCGUUACCCAAAAAAUGAUGAUAGACGGGGGUCCCACAAAUGUGUAGUUGUGUAUAUGUCAUAGUAUACGAAGGCCAGGGAAAUACAUAGUGCCACCUGACCUAACCAGCUGUUAAGCAUAAUUACUGUGGUUUUGCCAGAAAGGAAUUCUAAAUGCAGGAAGGUUUGCCAUUAGUGGGCCACAGAACAUGAAAGACUUCCCUGCAAACCUUUUAGAAAAUUUAUGCUAGUUUAUAUUUCAGGAGGUAAUACCCAUUGGAUAUACUCUAAUUUGGGAAACAUGGGAUGAUUAAUGAAUUGAUACAACCUCUAGACCAGGGGAACAGAAGAAAGUUUGGCUUGCAAAAUCACAGGCUCCACCUGGUCAGCGCUUAUCUUCCUUGUUUAGCUCAAGUUAGGUAAGUUUACCUAAUACUCCUUAAAAGGAGUAUUUUAAAUUUAUGUUUGACAUUUAAUGAUUUCAGAUAGUUCUUGGACAUCAGGAUAAACAAAUUCAGUGUAGCACAUACGUAGUAUAAGAAUUCUGUUGAUAUAAUGCCGCAGUCAUAGUUGUAGCCCAUUAUUCCAGGUAAUAAUGAUGCUACAAUUAGAAAGUUUUCCAAUUGUAGUUUUGAUUUGCACAGUAGUAAUUGCUGUUUCUAUUUUCAUAGGCAAGGAGAAUCCACACAUGAAUUAGAGGCUUUCCAUAUUAGGCUUUUUGGAGACAUAGACAUGGUGGUGAUCGCAUGGGGUGUUUGAGAAAAUGGAGACUAAUUGAAUGCAAAGUAUUCUGUGGGGCAAGCAGAGUAAAGAAUCCAGUCAAAUGAUGUCAGCCAAGGAUGGCAAGCCCAUGCCCGAAAAACUGGCAGCAGCUCACCCAUACCAAGCCACCUGAGACAUUUCCUGGGCUGGAAACAACGUUACGGAAAUUGAACUUCCGUGCCAAAUUUACCACACCUCGCCAAAGCCUGGGCACCUCUCUUAUUCAUGGGUGCCUCAGGAGUAAUUACAGCUUUAUAGCAUAUCUACUAAGAACUUUAGUGAAAGUGAAAAGGAGUCGGUAACCUUGAAUUUUAGCAAACUAGAGAAGGAAGAUGUGGGUGUCCUUUCCUCACGCGUUAACAAGGAUGCUGUUAGGUUGUCUAUCUACUCUGAAUCCCUACUUAGGAGGAAAGUCACGUAUCUGGUUGUGCAAAUCAAAGAGCUUUGACAGUUUGUUUUUUGUUUGUUUUUAUUUGGGUGCAAUUUUUCUAGAAGACUAAAUAACCUGUAAAAGAUUAAAAACCAUGAUUGAGUGUGCCUAGAAAUAAAGACCACCCUUGACUGGGCUUUUUC